GCCGGGUGUGGUGGCUCAUGCCUGUAAUCCCAGUUAUUCAGGAGGCUGAGGCAGGAGAAUCGCUUGAGCCCGGGAGUCGGAGGUUUCAGUGAGCUGAGAUUGCACCACUGCACUCCAGCCUGGGCAACAGAGCGAGACUCCGUCUCAA
rnacentral:SRP_RNA from 1 species